ACCUCGGUUUACAGACGUUUAAUAAACUGGAUCCCUGUUGUGUUCACUUAUCGAUACACUACGAUGGAAUUACGGACCAGUUUAACAUAAACAUGGUAAAUAGAUAGACAGCUGAUAAUCAUAAUUGAUUAAGAAAUAACCUGGAAGAAGAAAUGAGUUAACUAUUGAUUAUAACAGAGACGAGAAUGCCAUCGUGUUUGUUCUGCUAAAAAAAGCAGGAACAUUGGAGUUUAUGGUUAGAUUUUAAAUAUUUAUUGUCUCCAAACUGGGUAAAUUUGAUAUAGUAACACCCCCCCCCCCCUUUUUUUUUUAAAUAACUCGAGAACCACACAUCGCGCUCGCUUAACAAAGUAACAAUAAGAAAUAAUUAUUGUUAGUUUCAAGAAUAAUUAAUCGUCAAAACUUAUCCCCUCCCCGACAUCAAAGGAAGUUAAAUGUAUUAUCCCAAAAUUAGACCAAAUUAUUAUGAUAUAAGGACGUCUUGACAGGCUAUUAUUUUAUUUUGUUUUGUUGGGUUUUUUUUUUUUUGCUUUGACGUCUUCCUCCUGUAUGAAAAAAACAUAAUAGACCCCCCCCCCCUUUUUCCCCAUAAUAUAGCUUUUUAAGAAGUCAUAAUUAUUUGGACUACCCCUGAAUAUAUUUCAGACAGACUCUUCUCUAAAAAAAAUGUAAACAUGAUUUGAGAGAAAUCUUUGGAAUAGUUUUUUAAAUGAUUUAAUUAUUUAUGUCAUGUAUAUAAUUAACAUUAACAUAGUUAUAAACUGAGACUACUAGUAUAACACAUAGUGUUAUAGUAGUCUCAGCUAUAAACUUUCCAUUGUAUUGACCAAUAUGACUAACUCAUAUGCUCUUUCCCAUAAAUGUCACAAUAUCAAUAUAUUACAGUAAAACUGAUAGUUUGAUGACAUUGUUUAAGACUAUUGACCUCAGGUCAGCCUAAACUGAGUUUAAAACUGUAAUUUAUUCAUUAAAACAGUUCAAGACAUGUACCUUCUGAAAUGUGAUUGCAUCAAAAUUAAACCUAAGGCAUAACAUACUUAGUGUGCAGGAAGUGCCACCAAAUAAAUACUGAUUUGUAAAAUUAGAUGAUGAUAUUUGUGAAGUCAAAGAUAUUAUAGCUAGUUAUAACUGGUUUUAGAUAUAAAUCUGAGUAAAAGGUUGAUUUAUAUGUGCUCUUUCAUGUUUAGAUUAUAAUUUAAAUUUAAUCUUUUGAAGUUUUUUUUAUAAUAUUAAGACAUUAAAAUCACAAUUAUUUAUUUAUACACAAAAAAAAUAAUUUUUGUCCUUUUUUAGUUGAAUGACUGUACACAAACAUUAUACACACAUAAUUUUGAUAAUUCUGUAAUGUUUUUUUUCUAUAGCCCCAGAAUGUGACAAAAGACUUAUUAAUCCAGAUUUACAAAAAAUAGAAAUAGUUCAGCUACCAUAAGACUGCUAUGACAAAAAAAUUCUGCAGUUUCCAGAAUUUGAGGUAGAGUAUAGUUAGGAAUAGUUUGAUUAUGCAGAUGCUUAGUUUGCCAUAAACAAUUAUGCCCUUGAUACAAAAGCAGAGGAAACAAAAAAGUAUGAAAAUAGUUGAAAAAAGUAAUCAUUAUUACCUAGUCAUAUACUGUAAAUAGAAAAAGAGAAAAGCACUGGUUAUGAUUUGGUAUUUUUAAUAGCAUUAUCAUUUGUCCAUAACUUGGAAUAUAUACUGGAUUGAGCUUGACAUUUAUUUAAUAUCAUUGACACAUGGUUGCAAGAAAUGAAAGAUGGUAAUUUAAACCUAGCAAUUUUAUUAAGAUUUAAAAAAAAAGCUUUUGAUUUGGUAGAAUAUGACUUUCUUUGUUUAAAGCUCGACAUGUAUGGAUUUAGUGAGACUACUGUUAGUUUUUUUAAGUCGUACCUGAAUAACAAAAGGUAUACAUUUGUAAUGUUAACUCUGAACAACAACAUGUAAAAUUUGGUGUUCCCCAAUGUUCUAUACCUUGUCCUCUAUUGUUUGUGCUAUUUAUAAAUGACCUUCCCUUAUGCAUUAAAAAUUGUGAAACAGACCUAUAUCGUUGUUGUAUAUGCUGAUGACACCACUAUUCAUAAAUCAGGGGGAAACAUCUAGAAAAUAUAAAUGAUGAUGUUCAAGAAGAUUUAUACAGGGUUGAAGAGUGGUGUAAAAUGAAUAACAUGUUCAUAGAUGCAAAUGAAACAAAAUGUUUGAUUACUGGAACAAAGCAGAAACUAUUCAGACUUUUCAACCAAACUUGAUAAUAAAUUAAAGUAUUACAAAAUUCUUCAUGUGAAAAAAUAUUAGUUUCAAAAUUGACAGCCCACUAAGUAACUGGAGAAAUCAAAUUGACCAAGGUUGUGCUAAUAUAUCAUCCAGAAUAUACCAUCUUUCUUAAAUACAUUUUUUUUUAUAUAACUGCAAGAAAACAUAAUACAAUGGGUGUUCUGCCCCUAAUUGACUACUGUUGUAUUAUUUGGGAUGAAUGUAAAAAUUGAGGGAUAACAAGAAUUUUAAAAAUCCAAAAAAAGGGCAGCAUGAUAAAUUCUAGAUGCAGAUCCGUUAUCCCUCUUGGUAUAUAGGAGCACUAUAUUCUAUGUUAACCUCCGACAGUAGGUAUAAACAAAUACUGUUGAUAGACGGUAUAUAGGAGCACUAUAUUCCAUGUUAACCACCGACGGUAGGUAUAGACAAAUACUGGUUGAUAGACGGUAUAUAGGAGCACUAUAUUGUAUGUUAACCACCGACGGUAGGUAUAGACAAAUACUGUUGAUAGACGGUAUAUAGGAGCACUAUAUUGUAUGUUAACUACACCGACGGUAGGUAUAGACAAAUACUGUUGAUAGACGGUAUAUAGGAGCACUAUAUUGUAUGUUAACUACCGACAGUAGGUAUAGACAAAUACUGUUGAUAGACGGUAUAUAGGAGCACUAUAUUGUAUGUUAACCACCGACGGUAGGUAUAGACAAAUACUGUUGAUAGACGGUAUAUAGGAGCACUAUAUUGUAUGUUAACUACCGACGGUAGGUAUAGACAAAUACUGUUGAUAGACGGUAUAUAGGAGCACUAUAUUGUAUGUUAACUACCGACAGUAGGUAUAGACAAAUACUGUUGAUAGACGGUAUAUAGGAGCACUAUAUUGUAUGUAUGUUAACCACCGACGGUAGGUAUAGACAAAUACUGUUGAUAGAUGGUAUAUAGGAGCACUAUAUUGUAUGUUAACUACCGACGGUAGGUAUAGACAAAUACUGUUGAUAGACGGUAUAUGGGAGCACUAUAUUGUAUGUUAACCACCGACGGUAGGUAUAGACAAAUACUGUUGAUAGACGGUAUAUAGGAGCACUAUAUUGUAUGUUAACCACCAACGGUAGGUAUAGACAAAUACUGUUGAUAGACGGUAUAUAGCACUAUAUUGUAUGUUAACUACCGACGGUAGGUAUAGACAAAUACUGUUGAUAGACGGUAUAUAGGAGCACUAUAUUGUAUGUUAACCUACCGACGGUAGGUAUAGACAAAUACUGUUGAUAGACGGUAUAUAGGAGCACUAUAUUGUAUGUUAACCACCGACGGUAGGUAUAGACAAAUACUGUUGAUAGACGGUAUAUAGGAGCACUAUAUUGUAUGUUAACUACCGACAGUAGGUAUAGACAAAUACUGUUGAUAGACGGUAUAUAGGAGCACUAUAUUGUAUGUUAACUACCGACGGUAGGUAUAGACAAAUACUGUUGAUAGACGGUAUAUAGGAGCACUAUAUUGUAUGUUAACCACCGACGGUAGGUAUAGACAAAUACUGUUGAUAGACGGUAUAUAGGAGCACUAUAUUGUAUGUUAACUACCGACAGUAGGUAUAGACAAAUACUGUUGAUAGACGGUAUAUAGGAGCACUAUAUUGUAUGUUAACCACCGACGGUAGGUAUAGACAAAUACUGUUGAUAGACGGUAUAUAGGAGCACUAUAUUGUAUGUUAACCACCGACGGUAGGUAUAGACAAAUACUGUUGAUAGACGGUAUAUAGGAGCACUAUAUUGUAUGUUAACUACCGACGGUAGGUAUAGACAAAUACUGUUGAUAGACGGUAUAUAGGAGCACUAUAUUGUAUGUUAACUACCGACGGUAGGUAUAGACAAAUACUGUUGAUAGACGGUAUAUAGGAGCACUAUAUUGUAUGUUAACCACCGACGGUAGGUAUAGACAAAUACUGUUGAUAGACGGUAUAUAGGAGCACUAUAUUGUAUGUUAACUACCGACAGUAGGUAUAGACAAAUACUGUUGAUAGACGGUAUAUAGGAGCACUAUAUUGUAUGUUAACUACCGACGGUAGGUAUAGACAAAUACUGUUGAUAGACGGUAUAUAGGAGCACUAUAUUGUAUGUUAACUACCGACGGUAGGUAUAGACAAAUACUGUUGAUAGACGGUAUAUAGGAGCACUAUAUUGUAUGUUAACCACCGACGGUAGGUAUAGACAAAUACUGUUGAUAGACGGUAUAUAGGAGCACUAUAUUGUAUGUUAACUACCGACGGUAGGUAUAGACAAAUACUGUUGAUAGACGGUAUAUAGGAGCACUAUAUUGUAUGUUAACCACCGACGGUAGGUAUAGACAAAUACUGUUGAUAGACGGUAUAUAGGAGCACUAUAUUGUAUGUUAACUACCGACGGUAGGUAUAGACAAAUACUGUUGAUAGACGGUAUAUAGGAGCACUAUAUUUGUAUGUUAACUACCGACAGUAGGUAUAGACAAAUACUGUUUGAUAGACGGUAUAUAGGAGCACUAUAUUGUAUGUUAACUACCGACAGUAGGUAUAGACAAAUACUGUUGAUAGACGGUAUAUAGGAGCACUAUAUUGUAUGUUAACCACCGACGGUAGGUAUAGACAAAUACUGUUGAUAGAUGGUAUAUAGGAGCACUAUAUUGUAUGUUAACUACCGACGGUAGGUAUAGACAAAUACUGUUGAUAGACGGUAUAUAGGAGCACUAUAUUGUAUGUUAACCACCGACGGUAGGUAUAGACAAAUACUGUUGAUAGACGGUAUAUAGGAGCACUAUAUUGUAUGUUAACUACCGACGGUAGGUAUAGACAAAUACUGUUGAUAGACGGUAUAUAGGAGCACUAUAUUGUAUGUUAACUACCGACGGUAGGUAUAGACAAAUACUGUUGAUAGACGGUAUAUAUAGGAGCACUAUAUUGUAUGUUAACCACCGACGGUAGGUAUAGACAAAUACUGUUGAUAGACGGUAUAUAGGAGCACUAUAUUGUAUGUUAACUACCGACGGUAGGUAUAGACAAAUACUGUUGAUAGACGGUAUAUAGGAGCACUAUAUUGUAUGUUAACUACCGACGGUAGGUAUAGACAAAUACUGUUGAUAGACGGUAUAUAGGAGCACUAUAUUGUAUGUUAACUACCGACAGUAGGUAUAGACAAAUACUGUUGAUAGACGGUAUAUAGGAGCACUAUAUUGUAUGUUAACUACCGACGGUAGGUAUAGACAAAUACUGUUGAUAGACGGUAUAUAGGAGCACUAUAUUGUAUGUUAACCACCGACGGUAGGUAUAGACAAAUACUGUUGAUAGACGGUAUAUAGGAGCACUAUAUUGUAUGUUAACUACCGACAGUAGGUAUAGACAAAUACUGUUGAUAGACGGUAUAUAGGAGCACUAUAUUGUAUGUUAACCACCGACGGUAGGUAUAGACAAAUACUGUUGAUAGACGGUAUAUAGGAGCACUAUAUUGUAUGUUAACUACCGACGGUAGGUAUAGACAAAUACUGUUGAUAGACGGUAUAUAGGAGCACUAUAUGUAUGUAUGUUACACACGACGGUAGGUAUAGACAAAUACUGUUGAUAGAUGGUAUAUAGGAGCACUAUAUUGUAUGUUAACUACCGACAGUAGGUAUAGACAAAUACUGUUGAUAGACGGUAUAUAGGAGCACUAUAUUGUAUGUUAACCACCGACGGUAGGUAUAGACAAAUACUGUUGAUAGACGGUAUAUAGGAGCACUAUAUUGUAUGUUAACUACCGACGGUAGGUAUAGACAAAUACUGUUGAUAGACGGUAUAUAGGAGCACUAUAUUGUAUGUUAACUACCGACGGUAGGUAUAGACAAAUACUGUUGAUAGACGGUAUAUAGGAGCACUAUAUUGUAUGUUAACUACCGACGGUAGGUAUAGACAAAUACUGUUGAUAGACGGUAUAUAGGAGCACUAUAUUGUAUGUUAACUACCGACGGUAGGUAUAGACAAAUACUGUUGAUAGACGGUAUAUAGGAGCACUAUAUUGUAUGUUAACCACCGACGGUAGGUAUAUAGACAAAUACUGUUGAUAGACGGUAUAUAGGAGCACUAUAUUGUAUGUUAACUACCGACGGUAGGUAUAGACAAAUACUGUUGAUAGACGGUAUAUAGGAGCACUAUAUUGUAUGUUAACUACCGACAGUAGGUAUAGACAAAUACUGUUGAUAGACGGUAUAUAGGAGCACUAUAUUGUAUGUAUGUUAACCACCGACGGUAGGUAUAGACAAAUACUGUUGAUAGACGGUAUAUAGGAGCACUAUAUUGUAUGUUAACUACCGACAGUAGGUAUAGACAAAUACUGUUGAUAGACGGUAUAUAGGAGCACUAUAUUGUAUGUUAACCACCGACGGUAGGUAUAGACAAAUACUGUUGAUAGACGGUAUAUAGGAGCACUAUAUUGUAUGUUAACCACCGACGGUAGGUAUAGACAAAUACUGUUGAUAGACGGUAUAUAGGAGCACUAUAUUGUAUGUUAACUACCGACGGUAGGUAUAGACAAAUACUGUUGAUAGACGGUAUAUAGGAGCACUAUAUUGUAUGUUAACUACCGACGGUAGGUAUAGACAAAUACUGUUGAUAGACGGUAUAUAGGAGCACUAUAUUGUAUGUUAACUACCGACGGUAGGUAUAGACAAAUACUGUUGAUAGACGGUAUAUAGGAGCACUAUAUUGUAUGUUAACCACCGACGGUAGGUAUAGACAAAUACUGUUGAUAGACGGUAUAUAGGAGCACUAUAUUGUAUGUUAACUACCGACAGUAGGUAUAGACAAAUACUGUUGAUAGACGGUAUAUAGGAGCACUAUAUUGUAUGUUAACCACCGACGGUAGGUAUAGACAAAUACUGUUGAUAGACGGUAUAUAGGAGCACUAUAUUGUAUGUUAACUACCGACAGUAGGUAUAGACAAAUACUGUUGAUAGACGGUAUAUAGGAGCACUAUAUUGUAUGUUAACCACCGACGGUAGGUAUAGACAAUACUGUUACGGUAAUAGGAGCACUAUAUUGUAUGUUAACCGACGGUAGGUAUAGACAAAUACUGUUGAUAGACGGUAUAUAGGAGCACUAUAUUGUAUGUUAACCACCGACGGUAGGUAUAGACAAAUACUGUUGAUAGACGGUAUAUAGGAGCACUAUAUUGUAUGUUAACUACCGACGGUAGGUAUAGACAAAUACUGUUGAUAGACGGUAUAUAGGAGCACUAUAUUGUAUGUUAACUACCGACGGUAGGUAUAGACAAAUACUGUUGAUAGACGGUAUAUAGGAGCACUAUAUUGUAUGUUAACUACCGACGGUAGGUAUAGACAAAUACUGUUGAUAGACGGUAUAUAGGAGCACUAUAUUGUAUGUUAACUACCGACAGUAGGUAUAGACAAAUACUGUUGAUAGACGGUAUAUAGGAGCACUAUAUUGUAUGUUAACCACCGACGGUAGGUAUAGACAAAUACUGUUGAUAGACGGUAUAUAGGAGCACUAUAUUGUAUGUUAACCACCGACGGUAGGUAUAGACAAAUACUGUUGAUAGACGGUAUAUAGGAGCACUUUAUUGCAUGUUAACCACCGACGGUAGGUAUAGACAAAUACUGUUGAUGGACGGUGCAAAGGAGUACUAUAUCGUAUGUUAACCACUGACGGUAGGUAUAGACAAAUACUGUUGAUAGACGGUAUAUAGGAGGACUGUAUUGUAUGUUAACCACCGACGGUAGGUAUAGACAAAUACUGUUGAUAUACGGUAUAUAGGAGUAUUGUAUUUUAUGUCAAACAUCGACGAUAGGUAUGGACAAAAUCCGACAAAUACUGUAUAUACAGACAGUGUAUAGAAGUACUGUAUUGUAUGGUAAACACUGACGGUUGGUAUGGACAAUUUCUGUAUCAUGCAUCAAUUGUAAAUAAAAGUAUCAUGUGAGUGACACAGGCUCAUUGAAGCCUCUAGUUUUGAUAUAUUAUUAAUGUGGAGAUCUGGUCUAAUUUAUCAUUUUCUCUAUUACAUGCAUGAUAACUGCAACAAUUGAAUUGAAAUAAAAGUGAUAAUAUUUCUGUUGUAGGUUAUCAAGAUUUAGUGUUUCCAUACAAGUGACAAAGAUUGAACAACAAAAACAUCUCAAACUUUACAGGACAGAGUAGACUUUUUUCACUGUGCUUAGUUUUGUCUUUAUGUCUAAAUUAUGAUACCUUUAAAAAAAACCAAUAAAAUAUGGA
rnacentral:lncRNA from 1 species